GUACUGCAUUCUCUCCCCCCACCCACCCAUGGAUCAUUCAGCUCCGGGAGCAGAGAGCCAGAGGCAGGUUAGUGUGGAGGAGCAGAGAGCCAGGGGCAGGUUAGUGUGGAGGAGCAGAGAGCCAGGAUAGGGAGGCAGGGAAGGAGAUUCAGGCAGGCAGGGAGAGGAGGCAAGCAGGCAUGGAAGGCUGGGGAGGAGAGUCAGCGUUGCAGGCAAGCAGGCAUGGAAGGCUGGGGAGGAGAGUCAGCAAGGCAGGCAGGCAUGGAAGGCUGGGGAGGAGAGUCAGCGAGGCAGGCAAGCAGGCAUGGAAGGCUGGGGAGGAGAGCCAGCGUUGCAGGAAAGCAGGCAUGGAAGGCUGGGGAGGAGAGUCAGCGAGGCAGGCAAGCAGGCAUGGAAGGCUGGGGAGGAGAGCCAGCGUUGCAGGCAAGCAGGCAUGGAAGGCUGGGGAGGAGAGCCAGCGUUGCAGGCAAGCAGGCAUGGAAGGCUGGGGAGGAGAGCCAGCGUUGCAGGCAAGCAGGCAUGGAAGGCUGGGGAGGAGAGCCAGCGAGGCAGGCAGGCAGGCAUGAAAGGCUGGGGAGGAGAGUCAGCAAUGCAGGCAGGCAGGCAUGGAAGGCUGGGGAAAAGAGCCAGCGAGGUAGGCGGCGGAGACGGGAGAGCAGGUAUGCAGGGAUGAGAACCAGGUGAGCAGGGUUGGGCAGGCAGGCAAGCAAGCAUGCAAAGCAGGCACUCUGAGUAGAGGGAGGCAGGUAAGGACGCAGGUAGGCAGAUGGGAGAAAUAAGGAAAGGCAGGCUGUCUCCCAUUCCGUAGCCCCCUGGCCAGCUGUCUCCAGGGUUACUGGAAAGAAGUGAUGGACAACCAGAAAGUACCUGGAUAAAGACAAGGAGCGGAUGUCACACUCCUCCUCUUCUCCCUACUCUUCAUCCCUAAUUUCCUGGGCACCAUGGAAAGGGCCCCCCCCCUCCACCUAAAGAGCAGCAGGAAAGGAGACGAGCAGAAGGAUCCAUUUCAUACUAUUGAGAUGAACCUGUGGGUAGAGAGAAAGCACUGUAACAGUUCCUAUGUGCUGUGAAGUAACACUAUCCCCUCUUGAGUGAAGAACCCAUGAAAUGUACCUAUGGAGAACCACGAUACAGGAUGUCAUUGAAACAGGGCAGGGAGUUGGAGAGAGUACAGAUGUGGAAACGUAUAGAUCACCCAACGUCAAGACUGAUGUGUUACUCCACAAUUGGCGUCUUCAUAGUGCAGUGACUCUGACUGGGUAAACUCCCAGCCCCCGGCUUCUCUCUCUCUACACAUGACUCUGACUGGGUAAACUCCCAGCCCCCGGCUUCUCUCUCUCUCUCUCUCUACACAACACUGGAUCUGAGAAAAAGAUAAAUAUCUUUGUUUUGAAUCUGAUGAUAACUGUUUAUUUUCCAAGCUGUCAAGAAAAAGUCUCCCUCCUGACUUCCUCUUGGGGGUUUUUAGACUCCUAAAGCGGUGCAAUGAAACAAUGCCUCACUUUCCUCUCAUCACGGUGCUACUAACACACAGCCUGACAAUAAUAUGUGUGUUUGCUGGUGUUAAAACAACUCCUCACUUUCCUCUCAUCACGGUGCUACUAACACACAGCCUGACAAUAAUAUGUGUGUUCGCUGGUGUUAAAACAACGCCUCACUUUCCUCUCAUCACGGUGCUACUAACACACAGCCUGACAAUAAUAUGUGUGUUCGCUGGUGUUAAAACAACGCCUCACUUUCCUCUCAUCACGGUGCUACUAACACACAGCCUGACAAUAAUGUAUGUUGGUGAUAAAACAUAAAGCCUCCCGGUACUCCCCUGUGACUUCCUGACUAACACAGACAGACAGAAGAGUCACAUUCCACACAACGCUAUCAAUAAAAUCAUUCAUUCUG